CUCUCUCUCCCUCACUUUUCUCUCUCGCUGCUCUCUCUCUCGACCACCAGAUAGAGCAGCGCACCUCCAUUGAAGCCUAGACCGAGCUCUAAUCCGACGCCACUGAGCCCAAUCCGCCCAGGCUGAGGUCCCAGCAGCUUGGAGGAGGGUCGUGCGCAGCUGGCCCCUGUAGCUCCCGCGCGAAUCCCCAUCUUCCCCGGCCAAAUCGAGCCUUCACGCGUCGUCUUCCCCAACUCCGGCGAGCCGAUCCGGCCGCACGUCGAGCCGCCACUGCAGAGCUCUUUCCGGAUAAACGAGCACACGGCAUCUAAUGGCCCAAACCACCUUAGCAUCUAUUUACGUGGUGAGCGCUGGCACCCGUGACUACGUGCAGAACUGCUGCGUGAACCCGAUGCUCAGCGCCGCCUACUCGCCCGACCUGUUCGCUGACGCGCUCAUGCAGCCGGUCACCUCCUUCGAUGAGGUACGCAUGAUCAUUCAUCAAAAACUCGACCGCAAUGCCCAUGCUUUUGGAGACCUGGGUCCAGUCCACUGCUAGUGUUAUUGUCGUCACAUAUCGUCUCUAGUUGCUUCGUUAGGGAGAACCGGCGGAGCAUGAUUCAAUCAUAGGCCAUAAGAAACAGUCUCUUGUGAAUCAUUGUUCUACAUCUACACUGUUUACCAUAAAUGUGAGCUUUCAAUCUUAGAAAUCAUUGAAUUUGUGAUAGUGAAAUCCUGCUCUUAAUUAACAACUAAAGCUCUCUUUUUAUUUUA